UACGUAGGGUGCGAGCGUUGUCCGGAAUUAUUGGGCGUAAAGGGCUCGUAGGCGGUUUGUCGCGUCGGGGAGUGAAAACACUGGGCUUAACCCAGUGCUUGCUUUCGAUACGGGCAGACUAGAGGUAUGCAGGGGAGAACGGAAUUCCUGGUGUAGCGGUGAAAUGCGCAGAUAUCAGGAGGAACACCGGUGGCGAAGGCGGUUCUCUGGGCAUGAUCUGACGCUGAGGAGCGAAAGUGUGGGGAGCGAACAGG
rnacentral:rRNA from 1 species